AUUUCGUGUUGUCUAAAUUUUUCUAUGUGCUCAGAGUGAUCACCUGACCGGCGUCGAGGACCGGAGUCACGUGAACUAUGCGACGGGGCCAGACAUGCUGAUAGCGCGGCACUGGUCACACCUCUUCUUCGAUGCCUUGCCGCCAGCGUUUCCUCGCUUUGCUGAUUCUGAGAUUCUUUUACAGCUGGCCGCAGUGGGUAUGAACGUCACCAACGAAGACUUCACUGGUGUUCACGGUGCCGCCUGGAGGAAAUGCGCAUGCGAUUCAUACCGAAGACUGACAGAUAUUAGCCGGUACACGGCACAAGUGUUACCCGGAACAUGCGUCCAAUGCUAACACUCACCUGUCGACCAUGACCGCAUUCAUUACGCCUUGAAGCAGAAUUCCGAUUCGAGGCCAGGAUGGGAAGCAUGGAGGAAACGCUGCACAACGGGUGACAACUGCCAUAUCAACAGCUCCCACAAAGAAGUGUAGAGCCGCUGAAAUAUAGUGAUCAUAUGCCCUGAGCAACAAACAGGUCUGCGGGCCAGCAAAACUUGUUUCGUAGCGAGUUUCAAGCUUGCAAAUAGUCUCGCAGCAGCGGCGUCGAGCCGCGCCGUUUUGUGCAAUCUGUGAUAUUUUGACUAUUAGUGGUUCUUAUUCAUUUUUAUUUUCUAUGAGUCAUUUCUCUGUGAACAGGGUAUUUUGCAUAGUUUGCA